UGCGUAGUAGUCUCACAUUUUAUUUUAUUUUAUUUUUCACGUCCCCUGCGUGGACUUUUGAGUGCUUUGUCUCUCUCCCUCUCUGCGCGCGUAUUGCCGUGUAUAGGUCCGUCAGUGUCGGUGUCUGGGCUGCCACACUCACCAAGCUCGUGUGCGCUCAGCAAAAAAAAAAAAUUAAGUCGAUUAGGGUCAGCCUUGCUUCAUCGCUGUCGAUUCUGUGCCGCCCAGUCGUCUCUCUGCACCCGAGGCUCAGGCACACAGACACGCGCACGUGCGACGUCUUAAAUCUCCGUCUCUCUUGAGUCUCCUUUCCUCCCCCUUUCUUUUUACUUCUGCGCUGCUUCCUCUUAGAGGAGCACCUCCGCACUACGAGGCGUCGCCUAGUGCGAGAGCGAGGUGUUUUAUUGUGUGUGUGUGUGCGUGCGUGUGUGUGUGUGUGUGUUGCACGACAGGGUCGAAUGGGGUUGCUUUGUCGAGCGCCCACCUUCGUCCCUUCCUCUCCCUCCCUCACCAUCUCUGUGCUCCGCCACCCGCCCACCCUACUUCCACUUUGGCGUACAUCUCGCAUCUCUUGUGCAGCCUUCAAAUUUCGCUUUGUGUCUUUGUGUGCGUGUGUGCUCGUUAUUGGUGUGCAUGCAGGCGUUUCUUGCUCCUACGACCUCUCUGACAGUACCUUUGUUGUUGUUGUCUUGUGCUCCUACACGCCCCACACUACGCGCCUUUCUCUCCUCCUCCUUCUCCCUCCCUCUCUUUUUACCACCACCACCACCUCUUCUUGUUGCUGCACAGAUUCACUUCCCUCCGCCAUCGUUCUCUCCUUCUUUCUCGCUCUUGUUGCCCACUCUUAGACGCAUCAAUCUCGCUCUAUGCGUGUGUGCGUGUGCGUGACGAAGAGCCACGCUUACAUUCUCUCUGCAUCUGUAUAUUUCUUCCUCGCGCUUCGCCAUACGUUACCCGUCGCGUCUCUUUUCUUCAUCUCACGCGCCCCCGCCCCCACCCCCUCUGUGAGCGUCCUGUCGUUGUGCGUAACACGCAGAGCUACUGUCUCCCUCAACCCCUUUUCCUUUUUGCUUUUCCUUUCCACGUCUUCCACCACCAUUCCACCAGGUCACUGCGCUGCUGCACGCUAGCCUCUCCUGUGAGACAAUCGCCGUACCAUUGCCAGCCAUCACGGAAAGCUGCACACAAUGGCACAGGCCGCGUACCCACCGUCACGAGAGGGCAGCUACCCACACUCUCGUAGCGGUGGUCCCCGCGCGAACCCGAUGCUGCCCGAGCAGAUGAUCGGCAGCUACGUCAUUCGCGAGACCAUCGGCCGCGGUAGCUUUGGCAAGGUGAAGAAAGGGCGACACGUGCACACUGGAGAGUAUGUCGCCAUCAAGAUCCUCAACCGCCAAAAACUCAAGUCCGCCAACAUGGACAAGAAGAUUCACCGCGAGAUCGAAAUUCUGCAGCUGUUCUCUCACCCGAACAUCUGCCGUCUCUACGAGGUCAUCUCCACACCUACGGACAUGUACCUUAUUAUGGAGUACGUGGAAGGCGGAGAGCUGUACGACUACAUUGUCCAGAAGGGCCGCGUGCGGGAAAGUGAGGCGCGUUACAUCUUCCAGCAGAUUGUGUGCGCGAUCGAGUACUGCCACCACUUCCGCGUCGUGCAUCGUGACCUAAAGCCAGAGAACAUUCUGCUGGGAACUGGGCUGCAGGUAAAGCUGAUCGACUUUGGUCUUUCGAACAUCACGAAGGAUGGCGAGUUCCUCGCGACGUCGUGCGGGUCGCCCAACUACGCCGCACCGGAGGUCAUUUCAGGUAAACUGUACUUUGGUCCAGAGGUGGAUGUAUGGUCUUGUGGCGUCAUUCUCUACGCGCUGCUCUGCGGGUGCCUGCCGUUCGACGAGGAUAGCAUCCCGCUCCUUUUCAGCAAGAUCAAGAAAGGCAAGUACGCCAUCCCAUCCAACAUGCAGACGGGGCCGCGGGAGCUCAUUCAGCAGAUCCUCGUCGUGGACCCACUCGUGCGGCUCACCGUCCCGCAAAUCCGCGACAACGCCUGGUUCAAUCAACGCCUGCCAAUGCGGCUGUCUUACAGUGAGUCCAUCUUCAGCGUGAAGGAAGACCGCAUUUUAUCGGUGUUGGUGAGCGAAACAGCGAAGCGGCUGGGAGUGCGGGACAGAGAUGUGCGCAAGGAGCUCGAGCUCGGCUACGGGGCCGCCUUUGUCGCCUAUAAUAUUCUGUUGGACGCACGCCGCCGUCGCGAGAUUGCGGCUGAAGUGCGCGAGCUUGGCAUGUCCGGCGAUGAGUCCCGCGGGGUGAGCCACGUCAUCGGCGCCCAGCAGACGAAGUUUCAGCCAAAGGCGACAGAGCGGGAGCUCAACAUGGGCCUCAUGCUGACGCAGAGCCCCGCGAUGGUGGUGCUGCUUGACGAAGAAGACGCCACGAGGAACAAGUGGGCCUACAACCGCGGCUGCUUCGUGCCCGCUUCCGUCGCAACCCUUGGCGACCCAACAAAGGUGAGCGAUACGAGCCUGAGCGAUGGCAGCGGCAAUGGCGGUCCAGGCGGGUCGAUCGCAGUCGGCUCCUUCCGUAUCACUUCCAAGAUGUGCUCCGGAUCCCUGGUCGGCUCCGGCAGCGUAGGCUCUUCCUCUUAUGCGCCAGGCAGUCUGCGCGGCGCGGCGGGGCUCACGGGCGGCAGCAGCAGCUACCGGCGUGCUGGCAUGCAGAGCAGCACAGGGGGAACCGCCGCCUCGCAGCUGGGGGCGAACCUGAGCGACCAGCCGCGCGUCGGAUCUGUAGCCCGCAAGCACGCCAUGUACACCGCGGAGGAGGAGCAGUUCAUUGUGGAGAACAACUACGGCUGGCGCAUCGGUAUCAUGACGGACUGGCGGGCAGAGCAGGCGCUUUCCGCCAUCUAUGACGUCCUGCGCACCUUCAAGAUGCAGUGGAAGGUGGUCUCGCCCUUCCGCCUCUUGGCACGGUCAACAGCCGAGACAUGGAGUGUGGUGGCGGACUCGACGCAGAGCCGCAACGCGUCCACACGCCGAAACACGCUAAGCACUUACUCCGUUGAAUCCUCUGCACCGAUCCGGAUUGGCUGCCGCAGCGGUGCCCCAGGGAGCGGCAGCAGUGACGAUCACGAGGACGGAGACAUCGCCGGUAGCAUGCAACGCGACGAGGAGUGCAUCCACGCACAUAUAACCCGCACACGCCGGGCAGGCGCUGCGGCUCGCAGCUUCGGGAGCGCACCAGGUGGCGGCUUCAACACUAGCUCGAGCCAGGUCGCGCGCGGCAACUAUUUCGGCGGCCUACAGGGCGGAGACGAGGAAGCGGCGAUAGUCUCUGGAAGCGCGGCGUCGGGAGUGCUGCAGUCAGCACAUGCGAUUGAGAGCGGGUCUGAGUCGACGUCCUCGCCGCGUGACCCACGCGGCGCGUCCCCACCAGCGAGCGCCGCUGCCUCCACCUCCGCAAUUGCGGAACCAGCCUCGUCACCGGCAAAUCCUGUCGUUAUUUCCCUCUACUUCUUUCGCAUUCACGAGCGGCACGAUAAAGGUUACCUGGUGGAUUUCAAGGUCGUGCGCAAUGCCAUGGUCGCCGCGGACCUGGUGCUUCUCCUCUCUGAUACGCUGGUCAGGAAGUUGGGCUAAGAGAACGCAAAGCAGUUGAGCUGGCGCGGCAGGGUUACUGCAAAAGAUGUGUGCGUGUUUUUCUGUGCACGUGCUCCUCAGCGCGUACACCCAUACCUGAGAUGGGUAGUUGAGAAGAUGGGUUCUGGCCAGCGGAGCCAACGAGGCCAUCGGUAGAGAGGCGCUGGACAAAGGAGUGGCAUGCCGACAGCGCAUGAGCGCUGUCUGCGUUUUAGCUCCCCAUCCAGCGCAGCGACUUUUUGACCUUCAUGUGUGCCUCCCCGUCUCUCUACGCCGGUCUCUACUCCUUUACAGAACGCGGUGCGCGUCUUCGUAGGCAAGGUAUCCCCUGUGCAUCUUCUUCCUUUCUCGGUGCGCACCUCUCCCCUGUGCAGCGGCUCUGACCCUCACUCUGUGAAUCCCCGCUGUCUCCCUGCACGCUCGUGCAAACGGAAAAUAAAAAGGGAAGGGAGGGUCUUGGGGAAGGAGGAAGAACGCAAUGUAUCUUUUCGAGAGGGUGGCGCACUUUUCUGACCUUCUCACGUCCGCCGCCGCUGCCGCCGCCGCGCUGGCGUGAUCUUUCCACUUCUUUUCGUUUUCAGCUACAUUUUAUGCUCCUCUGCCUUCGUGUUUUCUCUCUCCGUCCUCCACGCGUCUUCUCUACCCCUCCCUCCCUCCCUCCCCUUCUUCCCACGGCGUGCGUCGCCGAAUGUUGCUGGGAUGGUGCGACAGGAGGGGAGGAGGAACAAGGGACGAGUCCCCUCCCCGCUCCUCCCUCUGAUGCGAGUGUGUCUGUCAAGCGCCCGUCUGCGGCAGAUCUUUUUUUUUUUCAUUUUUUUUUCGCUCGGCGGUGGAGUCCGGCGGAGAACAGAGAAGACUGAGGGCCGAAGAGGGGCGGUGUCGCAUGUGUGUGGGUGUGUGUGGAGGGGCUCGCCGCUUUGGGCGCCGGGCUCUUCCCUCCCUGCCCCCUCUUUCUCUCUUGCUUUUACUCGUCCAAUAUUGCUGUGAGCUGAUGAGCUCGGGGCCGUAUACCUGUGCCCUUCUCGUUUUGCUCGUUUUUUUUUUCGUCUGGGCUUUGUGGUUCUCUUCUCUCGACGCCGGAGCCGCAACUCGGCUCUGCUCCUCCUUUUUGUUCUCCUGUUGCAUGGCUUCCGUGCGGGCGCGUCUGCCUGCGUCACUGCUGCCCCACGGCGGCCGAGUAGCAGAAGUGAAAUUCAGUGUGAGUGGGAUGCGAUCAUGUGAGAAGCGUGAAGUAGCUACCUAGGUCUGGAUGCCUGCUGCUGUGAAUGGUGUACAUCGACACCAGCCGCGCUUGCAGUCAAGCGUUCUUAUGGCGGUGGGAGGGGGUUGUUUUGUGUGUUUCAUUUUUCGUGGUGAACCUGCUGGAGGUGCCACUGUCGCUGCGUGGGUGUGUGCGCGCGCGUGCAUGAGCGUGUGGGCGAACGCAGGUGGCGAAACGAUGCCGCGCGGGAGUCCCUCUUUCCCCUUGCAGCUUUCUCGCUGUGACUUGUCGGAGUUACUAAUACUUGAAAUGCACACGGAAGACUCGGCCAACAAACGCGACACUCAUACCUGAGCAAGUGGGUGACAAUGGAACGUCAUACGCGGGAGUAGUCCUGUUCGCCGAGCCGCAAAUAUGAGCUCUCCGUCGUGCGCGCGUCUACGUCAGGGCGCGUGUGCGUCUUCAAGCGCUGAGCGCUUGCCUGUGUCGUUGACGUUUCGCUCUCACCCCCCCCGAACUCCUCCUUCUAGCACCGUGGCAUUGAAACACUCACAUGCAGUGUGCCUCCGCUGGUCAAAGUCGUGCGAACUUGUGCGCCGUAGCCUAGAAGGUGGGCAUGGCAACACAUAUCGAGAAAGAUAGCCACGACGCCUCAUCCUUUGUCCUCCCUCUUCUUAAGCUGCUUGUUCCUUUCUUGCCCCCCCCCGUCUCUGCACCCCUUCCUCCGCCGCGCAUUUCCCGUCGACGCUCAAUGGAG
rnacentral:misc_RNA from 1 species